rnacentral:lncRNA from 1 species
CACAUGCGCGGCAGCUCCCGCUGCUGAAUAGCUGAGAGGCGCACCCGGGCGGCCAGCUGGGCUCGGAGUGCAGCGGGGUUAGGAUGGACGAGGACGUGUUGCACCCUGAAGAGCCUCAUCAUCGCCUGCUCUUGAGGUUCACAGAUGAUACCUUUGAUCCAGAACUUGCAGCAACAAUAGACAAUGCAGGAAUCACAUGAACCUGUCCAUCCACAGAUAAAGUGGUAAAGAAACUGCCGUAUUAGAUACAUGAUGGUAUACUCUUCAGCCAUAAAGCUUCGGGAAACCCUGUCAUCCGCAACCACGUGGAGAAACCUGUCCAUCCACAGAUGAAGGGAUCAGGAAGCUCUGAUCCAUCUUCGGUUGUGAAUCCGGCCCGGAAUGCAGCCACCCCUUAGAGCAACCCCCCUUGCUGCUCGUGCCCUGCUGUGCUACUGCCUCAGUCACUUCCUGCUUGGUCAAGACCACAGCUGCUGAUGUCACAGCUGAGGCACAUCAGAAAGGCUGCCUGAUUCAAAGAAAGCUGCCGGAUAAAUCAUAGAGCACAGACACUUCUACCUCAUGCUCUUAUGGGACUUUAGGAACCAAACAUAAGCACCUAUGGAAAAUGCACGGCGGUCUUGAAAGGCUGUGGUCUUUAUCAGAAAAUAUCUGAAUGACUGUUUGUUAUGUCAGUCCUACUCUGCAGGCUUGCUAAGAUGAUGAUUGAAAGGGCUCUUGGUUUCUGCUUUGGAAUCUGGCAUUUAUGUUUUGAAGCGUUGUGAGCAAGCGAUGUGGCAGAUUGCAGGGUGAGGGGGACAAACCUGGGCCAGGAGCCAGGGGUUUCUCUACCCCCUUCCCUGACUUACAGCUGGAACUGGGCUCAGUGGUUUCAGCCUCAUUUGCUAAGAAGGUCUGGGUAUGUAAUCCUGGCUGCAUCUUAAAAUCCCUAGGAGCUUUUAAGACAUAUUGACACAUAAGCUCUAACUCACAUGAAACGAAAACACAUCUCUGGGGCUGGGCUGAGCAAAUGCAUUUUUUAAAAGGCCCCUCAGGUGAUUCUGUCUCAGAGAUGUUGAAAACCAGUGGGUUAGGAGCUCAGUCAUCCACUUUCAGAUCUGUGAUUAUGCCACUAUUAAAUACAGUUGGCUAUCACAUAGAUUUUAUGCUUUAGCUUGUUCUUUUUUCCUUUGCUAUACCAAAUAAAAUCUUCUGAGCUGUAGUUCCAGUCCUUAAAAUAAUGGUUGUUACCAUACUGAGGUUAAACAUUAGUGCAUUUGCUUAACAAGGACUUUAAAACUUAUCACACUGCCAUAAUUUUUAAUGGUUUCUAUAAUGAUUAAUUAAUAAGAAAAUCAAUAAUUGGAUUUUAAGCAGGAAACUAGGCAGGAAAGUUGAAAUUCAUAGACCAAUUCAAUGGAAAACAUUAAAAUGUAUUGGGAGAUGCCCAAUAUUCUAUGCUGUUUGGUGGUUCACUGGUUUCUAAUCUAUUAUAACGGCACCCAUAGUUAAAAAGCACUAGUUUUUUUUUGGUCUGAUAGUUGAAAAAACAACAAUCCUUUGCACGUAGGAAUUAUUUUUUCCAACAUCAUAAUUUCUGACUUUGCACAUAUUCUAUUGAAUUGCCAAAAUGACUUUAAAGAGUCUAGUACAUGCAGGGAAUAUUACAAUUGCAAUCAUUAUUUUAACACCAUCUCCUCCCCCUCUUCCCUUCCCAAAAGAUAUAAAGACAUAAACAUCAUCUGCUGCCAAAUAAAUCCUGAAAUUCGAGGGCGAUGCUGGGAAGGUAUGAAAUUAGAGGGAGGCAUGUUGCUUUUGCACUUUCAGAUCAAUGGCUGAAUUCCAGACCCGGGGAAGCCUUUCAGAUCCGCAUGUAAUUUGUUUAAACAAUUGCUGUUCAUCUGCCACAGCAGCACUUGUAAUGCCGCAGGGAGGAACUUGCAGCAUUUCUUGCUCACUUCAAGAAAUCAACUAUAACAAACCUCUUCCAGAAGACUACGACAUCCAUAUUUCUGCAAUAGUUAGAUAAAAGUUAAAGAACUGUUCCUUUUGUGAAUAUUCACAGUCCACUGCAUAUAAUCGUUUAUGAAAACUGAACCCUAUAAAGAGCGAGAGUAGAGGACUGUGGUGAGAACAGAGGGAUCGAAGGGAAUCAGCUCGCUUGAAGAGCUGUCCCCGGGCGGCGGCAGGAGUACCUGGGGAUAAGCGGAUUGCAUUCUCCAGGAUCCAGGGGAUUGAUGUCACAGUUCUCAUAGUCAAAGGUUCCAUUCCAUAAGUGCUUUGCCAGCUGAAAUGCUAUUUUUCGUUGUGCUAAUGUGACUUCUUUCCCAUGCCAUACGUAAACUUCACUACCAAAAUCAAACACCAGUACCUGGGAGAAAUGGCACAAAAGAAUUUGUUAACUUCAAGAACAUGCAACAGUUGAAUCAGGUGCAACAGGGUCUCUUGUUGACAGUGAGUCAAACGGAGGAAGACAGAAAUCCUAACGGGGCGACCAACACAGACACAAAAAGGCCAGGAGAUCUCAGCUGGCACUGCCCCACCGAGCCAGCCUCUGCCCUGCGGGCACGAUUCCUCCUCCCAGUGUCCUAAGUGGCCAGGAUAAUGUUCCCUCCUCUGAACUCUCAACCUGCUUACAACUUGCGAUUCACAAGAGUUCUUUAGGUACAUCUUCCUGUCGACUUCCUGCCUCUCUCCCCUAUUCCUCCCCCUCUCAUGUGCUCAUUCAUUCACUUAAUAUAUACACAGAGGCCACUUCAUAUACCGCAGGCACUCAUGGUCCAGUGGUGUCUUCUCUCCAGUACACAAUUCCAAGAUCCUUAAGGGCAGGGAUCAGAUCAUGGUGAUACAUACAGGAGGGGUUGAUUACUAAGUGUUUGCUGAAUGAAUACAUGAAUGUAAUGCUAUUUCUUAUGUUCAUGGUUCAUUUUAUUCUUUCUCCUAGAAUGAGUUCUCCCUUCACUUCCAGCAAUUCAAAUUUUGCUUAACUCUAAACUAGGCUCAAUUUCACUUUCUAUGUAAAAUUAUUCCUGAAGGUUUCUUUUUCUGUGACUUUUCCCUCAUGUAAAUGCCCAUACAUGUCACACAGUCAACCUUGCUCCAGAUUACAUUCCUUCUAAUACUCUUCCACCCAAUUAAACUUAAGGGCCUGCGUGUCUUCCACUUUCUCAACACUUAGCAUGCUUAAUGAUACUGGAAAUGUAUGUAAUUAAUAAAUAUUUACUGCUGUGACAGGACAAAAACAGCACAUUAAUUGGGAAAUCCAUAAAUUAUAUAUGCAUGCAUCUAGUGUUCCUUAAACUUAAGGAUUUAAAAAUAUUUUAUUAUAAUGUUUAUGCAAAAUGCAAAAGAUAGGGCUAAGUAAUAUUUGUAUUUUGCCUAAGAUAUAAAAGCCUUCAAUGAUCCAUGCCAACUCUAAAUGAUAUUCUGGAUUCCAUAUUAGCAUUUAAGAUACCAGUAAUGGUUUGAAAUCA